rfam:Sus scrofa isolate TJ Tabasco breed Duroc chromosome 18, whole genome shotgun sequence.
UUUCUGGUGGUCUAGUGGUUAGGACUCAGAGCUUUAACUGCUGCAGCCCAGAUUCAAUCCCUGGUCUGGGAA